rnacentral:lncRNA from 1 species
GGAAGAUAGGAAGAUAGGAAAUCUUUAUUGUGUCAGUUUAAAAACCCCAGGCUGUCCCAUCCUCAUGUCACAUCUGUGCAGUGGGCUGGCUCACCUGCACAUCCUGGGACAGGAAUGGGAUAAGGCCCAGCUGGCCUUCUCCUCCCCUCCUCUGCUCCAGCCCUCAGCUCACCAGAGUUAUGUCAGCAAUGCCUGGCGCAGCAUCUGCUUCUUUUGGGGUGUGAGGCGGGUGGGGAACUGGAUGUCGAAGAAGAUGAAGAGAUCCCCUUUCUUAGUGGGGUCCUCAGGCAGUGGCAUCCCCUCACCUGGCACCUUCUUGAAGUACUUGGGACUGAGACAGGGGAGGAUGAAAGAAGGGAAAUGAGAGGGCCCCCCAACACUGCUCUCUGACAGAUCCCAUGCUGCCCAUGCUCCCACAACCUCAGGCUUGAGGCAGUCAGUCCAGCUUCCACCAGGUGGCUCUUCUCAGCCAGAAUCGUGUGGCAGGAGAGAGAAGACCAGCUUAUUCAGACAGCCUGCCCCCUGAUAAUCAUUUACACUGGAGGUUCCAGGAAUAGAGGUUCCAGCCUAGGUUGGGGUCGGGGGGGGGGGGGGGGGGUGCUGGGCUGCUGAGUAAAGCUUCCCAUACAGAGGCCCUUUCCUGUAAAGGACUUGAGGGAUACAACUCAGAACACUAAUGAGACGUUCGGGAGGAGGAAGGCAACAAAGGUCGCCUCUGCAAUCUUUGGGCUCUGUAGCGGCCUCGUGCAAGUUAGAAAAAGGCACUCCAUUUACCAGGUGAAUGCAGCUUGGCCAGAGUUAGGGCUGGAUUUCAGUCCUUGCUAGUGAGGACUGAACUACCCCAGGCUGACCUGUCUGGCACUACCCUCUAAGGCCCAGGCCAGCCCUUCUGCCUACUGGGACCCACACAGAUGCACUCACUGGAUAAUGUCAUUGAUGGGGAUGUUGAGCAGACGAUCAUCCAAGGUCUUCACCUCCACGGUGCAGCAGGUCAGAGCCUAGGGACGUUAGGGCCACAGGUGGGAGUAGGAGAGAUAACCAUGGCCAUUCUGUUUAGAAGGCAUUUUAUGAGCUUAUUCGGUGCCAGACCCUGGGCCUGGCCUCAAGCAGACAAAAGGAUGUUCAGGGACUAACAGGGGAGCGAGCCAGGCAUCUGCCUGCCCUUAGGAGCUCACGGUCUAGUAGGAAAGACUGAUGAUGAUAGAGGGAAGUAAAGGGGUCUGCGGGAGCCAAGGAGAGGCCCCCAAACCACUGUGGAGUGGGACAGGAGGACUACACAGUGGUGGUAGCAGUUGAUGAGGGUGAAGAGGAUCCUGCCAGUCAGACAAGGUGGAUAUACAGCAUUCCACACAGACGGCCCAGCAUAAACAAGAGAAUGGAGGUGGGGAAAUGCUCCCAAUGGACAGGGGCACGGUGGUUGGAGUGCAGGGGAUGAGAUCAGCAGAGGCAGAGUGUGGAGGGCCUUAAACACCAUGUGAAGAUGCUCCGACAGGCGUGUGGCACAGUCAGAUGAGCGUGGGGAAGAGCCUAGAGGAGAUGGGAAAGGAGGCAGGAAGGCCACCAAAGGGGCUGCUGUGCAGACCCAGGUGCUCAGACUCUGACUCUGGGAAUGAACGGAAGGGGACUAGGUGGUAGAAUUGACGGAGUAACUGCCCACAGGUAGGGUGGAGGAGGGGAGGCAAAGUCUAGGCUGGUGCUGUUCCUUGUUUGGAUUGUGAGGACAUGGAGGGGCCCUGAAGACAGCCACAAAGAUUCUAUGUGCACUCCUCACGUUCUGAAGGCCUGCGCCAUAGGCACUGGGGGGAGUGCAGAGUGAGGCCUGCUUGCUCACUCUCAUCUGCCCACUUCUCCUCCUCCACUUUGCCCACUCACCUUGCCCAAGGGAAUGGGAUUCACAAAAAGGAGGUUGUCGUUCUCCCUGCGGAAGCGAGUGUGUAGCUUCUCCUUUACAAUGAAGAUGAUGUCGGCUGGGAUAAUGUUGGGGCCCUGGGCAGAGGAGGCAAGGGGUGACAAGGACUAAUUGGCUGUGUGAUAUUGGCUAAGUUCCUGACUCUACUGGUCUCCAUGUCUUCUUCUGAACAAUGAAGAGAUUGAACUAGGUUUUCUGGAAGGACCUUUUCAGUUUGGUUUCAUAGCCCCUCCUCUGAGAAGCCUACUCCAAUGAAUCCAGCGCCACCCCCCCACCCCAUUACUUCUCCUCUAUGGAGCAUGCCCAACAGGAUUCACUCAGAUGGAGAGGGACAGAAGCUUCCUCAGGGGGUGGGUAAAAUGCUGAGCUGCAAGUUUUGAAAACAACUUCUUACACACCUCUGUCCUGACAAGCUUCUGCUAAGGUCUCUUAAGGGGGCAGAGGAGCCUAACUGGUCCCUACAAGCAAGAAGCUCCCAGUCUAGUGGGGGGAACAGACACACCGUCCUCAGCAUGCUCAGGACUGUGGUAAAAGGAACCCAGAGGCAGGAGAUUAGAGAGGCCCUGAGCCAGGUGGAGAGGUCAGGGGAGGCUGCCCAGAGCCCAGAGCAUUAGAGCUGGGUCCUGAAGGGGUGUUUUGGAAGUAGAUGUUUCACAGGUGAGAAAGGGAGCAAGAAGUAUGGGCAGAGGAAUUAAUCUCUCUUGGCUCUGAAAAUGCCAUCACUCUGCCUCUUCUCAGACCUAAGGAUACAGCAUGCCUUGAACAAUAAUUUUAUAUUUUUAUUUAAAUAAGUAAUUAUCAUGAAGAUAUUAAGCAGUAUUAAAAUUAUUAUUAAUAAGUGGUUUCUGAAUACCUCCUAUAGUUGGGCUUUAUUCAAGAAGCACUGAAGAAAAUCAGGAAGAGCUCUUGUGCUCUUGCCCUGGCCAAAUCCCUUCCCUUUCUGGGCCUCAGUUUCCUACUCUGCAAAAUGGGGGAAAGCCCUGGGCUAUCCACUCACAGAGGUGUUGUGAGGCUCUGUCCCUGGUAAGGGACUUUGGGGAUCAUUUCACCGACUCUGCAGACUGGUCUCCCUACUAGACUGGGGUCACGGGGCAGAGGAAAGCAUUGCCUCCUUCUCCCUCAGUCUUUCCACCACAUGAGCAAGCCUGGGUGACUGACACUAGGACUGACCCUAGUCAGUUCCCUCCUUCUCACCUGGUCCCCUUCCUUCUCAAAGGUGAUCCGUGUGCCCUGCCUCCAACCAGGUUUCACAUCAAUUGUGAGAAUCUUGUCCUUGAUGGUAGAGGAGUACCCAUCCUCGUUCAGUACCUGCAGCCAGAUGGAAGAAGGGAGGUUUGCUCCAGAUUUCCCAGCUGGCCUUUUAACACGAGAAAGAUGCCAAGGGGAUUUUGUGCUCAGAUGCAAUCUUCUAGCAACAGGGAGAAGCUGUCCUGAGCCAUCCCCAUUCUCACCCCAUUUACUGGAACCAAGAACUUACGAUUCUAGGAUGAUGUCAUUGGGCUAGGGCCUGAGAUGCCAAGCAGUCACCAUUAGUUGACCAAGCCCCCAACUCCAGGCCUAGAUCACGUAGCCCUGGCCACUAACAGAUGCAUGGUGAACACAUACUCAGUUCCUCUCUCCCAACCCAGUGGCUCUGGCCCUGAGGGGCUGGCAGGUUUCUUAAUCAUGAAGGGAGAAAGACCACAGAGGUCAACAUAUCUGAGCAUUCCCUAUUAUGUCAUCCAACCAUUCCCCAAUCACAUGCCCAGAUGAGUGCCAUCUGUGCCACAGCUGGCAUCUCCUCUGCUGGGCAAAGGUGUGAGGAGGCUUUGCUCAUGUGUCUAGCAUAGGGCUGAGCCAUAGGAUAGGGUCAACCCAAGGACUAGACUCUGGGCCACUAAAAGUCUUCAAUCAAACCCCUUGGGGACCGUCCCCCAGUGCACCCUCCAUGCCCACACUGUUUCUUCUUACUCCUGAGGCAUACACACUGAUGAAGCCCUGGGGGUAUGGUCUGGUAAUACCCAGAGGGCAGAAUUCACAAGGGACUCCUCCCAUUUGGAAUCCGGCUUCCCACAGGGAUGGGGCUGAUAUGAGAAGAAGGGAAAGACCCUUCUGCAGAGGGGAUUCCUGCACUGGGGAAGAAUCAGGCUAAUACCCUCAAUUGUCCCUUCCAAAUUUCAGAUUCUAGAAUUCUAUGAUCCUAGGUCUUCAAUUCUGAGAUUUCAUGAUUCUAUCAGAGGCCAUACCUGAGGUCUCCAGUGAGGGCAUGGAGGAGGUGACUCAGAGGAUUGGAGGGCAUAGGUAGUGGCCCCCAGUAGGAGCAAGCCAAGUACUCACCCUUCGGGAGAUCUUAAUUUUCUUGGUGCAGCCAAAGAAUAAGUCCUCCAGAGAUAGGUAGAGGUCUCGUUCGAUUGGGGGGUCCUGUUUCUUGACCCCUCGGCCUCGGAGACCCCCAAAGUUCAAAUCUGCCUCACUUCCUUCUACAUCAAAAAACUCUGCAGGAGAGGAGAGGAGAGGAGAGGAGAGGGGAGGGGAGGGGAGGGGAGGAGUAAGAGAGAUUGUAUCAGGGACUUGGAAACACAGACACCCCUCCACACAUACCUCUUCAGUCCCCAAGUGUAAUACUCAGCAUCCCAUUCCUACCUUGCAAACUCAGACUGUUAGGCCAGGCCAAAAAGUUGUCCUAAAUUGCAGAUCCAGUCGUUAUCAUUGCUUGCCACUUCCCACUGCUUCAUCAUCCUGUUUAUAUUCCCCCACUUUCCUGACUCCCUUCCCCCUCAAUUUGGAGAAACACUCCUCGAGGCUGGCUGCCUCAGGAUGGAGAGGAGUGCCCUCUGGUGGCAGCUCCUGGUAUGCCAGAAAUGACUCCCGUUGUUAGCUUGCUGGGGGGACGGUAAUAUCAUUCCAGUCCUUCCUACCCUUCCCCACACUCCACUCUCCCUCACUGUCCAGCCCAGCACAACACCUCUAAAGACCACAUACUCAAGUUUCUGUGAAGUCAAUAGCUGAUACGGGAGUAGGGAAGGGGUGGUUCCUAAUAAAUUUGAGAGUUCAUCAGCAUACCCCCAAACUCUUUUUCCCUCAAUUUCUUUUUUCCCUGCCCAGCUCUACACCCAUAAGUGCUCUUGCUGCCCUGCCCUUCCAUCCCAGUGCAAACAGCCUUUGUCUCUUGAAGUGCUAUGGAGUCGUUUGGUUUCAGUUUUUCUGUCUGUGAGAUGGGGUAAUAAUGCCUGAUCUGCCUUUUUCCAUUAGGAUUAAAUAACAAGACGAUGAAGAAGAGUGGAAACUGGCUGAGAGCUUACUAUGCAUCAGGUGCUGGUUUCAGUUCUUCACAAUAUUGUCUUAUUGGACAGAGAGGCCAAAGAAAAGGCUCACAGUCCCGCAGCU